AGCUCCAAUAGCGUAUAUUAAAGUUGUUGCAGUUAAAAAGCUCGUAGUCGGAUUUCGGGGCGACGCGUCCGGUCUGCCGAAGGGUGAGUACUGGGCGUUGCGUCCUUCCUUCUGGAGACUGGCUCUACUCUUAACUGAGCGGGGUCAGGAAACAGAUCGUUUACUUUGAAAAAUCAGAGUGUUUAAAGCAGGCCAAGAUUGCUCUUGCAUGGAUUAGCAUGGGAUAAUGAAAUAGGACUUUGGUGCUAUUUUGUUGGUUUCGAGCACCGAAGUAAUGAUUAAAAGGGACAGUCAGGGGCACUUGUAUUCCGUUGAGAGAGGUGAAAUUCUUAGACCAAUGGAAGACAAACUUCUGCGAAAGCAUUUGCCAGGGAUGUUUUCA
rnacentral:rRNA from 1 species